AUUGAACGCUGGCGGCAUGCCUUACCCAUGCAAGUCGAACGGCAGCACGGGAGCAAUCCUGGUGGCGAGUGGCGAACGGGUGAGUAAUAUAUCGGAACGUGCCCGGUCGUGGGGAUAACGUAGCGAAAGCUACGCUAAUACCGCAUACGAUCUACGGAUGAAAGCGGGGGAGUCGCAAGACCUCGCGCGAUUGGAGCGGCCGAUAUCAGAUUAGGUAGUUGGUGAGGUAAAGGCUCACCAAGCCGACGAUCUGUAGCUGGUCUGAGAGGACGACCAGCCACACUGGGACUGAGACACGGCCCAGACUCCUACGGGAGGCAGCAGUGGGGAAUAUUGGACAAUGGGCGAAUGCCUGAUCCAGCAAUGCCGCGUGAGUGAUGAAGGACCUUAGGGUUGUAAAGCUCUUUUACCCGAGAUGAUAAUGACAGUAUCGGGAGAAUAAGCUCCGGCUAACUCCGUGCCAGCAGCCGCGGUAA
rnacentral:rRNA from 1 species